UUUAAUGAGAGUUUGAUCCUGGCUCAGGAUGAACGCUGGCGGCGUGCCUAAUACAUGCAAGUAGAACGCUGAAGCUUGGUGCUUGCACCGAGCGGAAGAGUUGCGAACGGGUGAGUAACGCGUAGGUAACCUGCCUCUUAGCGGGGGAUAACUAUUGGAAACGAUAGCUAAUACCGCAUAAAAGUCGAUAUCGCAUGAUGUUGAUUUGAAAGGUGCAAUUGCAUCACUAAGAGAUGGACCUGCGUUGUAUUAGCUAGUUGGUGAGGUAACGGCUCACCAAGGCGACGAUACAUAGCCGACCUGAGAGGGUGAUCGGCCACACUGGGACUGAGACACGGCCCAGACUCCUACGGGAGGCAGCAGUAGGGAAUCUUCGGCAAUGG
rnacentral:rRNA from 1 species